rnacentral:rRNA from 1 species
CAGUCGCCGCGGUAAAACGGAGGGUGCAAGCGUUAAUCGUAAUUACUGGGCGUAAAGCGCACGCAGGCGGUCUGUCAAGUCGGAUGUGAAAUCCCCGGGCUCAACCUGGGAACUGCAUUCGAAACUGGCAGGCUAGAGUCUUGUAGAGGGGGGUAGAAUUCCAGGUGUAGCGGUGAAAUGCGUAGAGAUCGGAAGGAACACCAGUGGCGAAGGCGACCACCUGGACUGAUACUGACACUGAGGUGCGAAAGCGUGGGGAGCAAACAGGAUUAGAUACCCCAGUAGUCCCUGUCUCUUAUAU